GGGGAAUCUGCAUGCACAGUGUGAACGCUAUAGCUACGUGGAAACCGUCCCGUUGACUUCUUAUCCUUAGGAUUAUUCUUCUCGUGAAGAAUAUCCAAGCUUUUGCGGGCACGGUCCAGGAAGCGCAGCACCUGCUCCAUCAGGGCACGGUACUAAAGCGUUAAAAAUGGCAGUGGAAUAUUAUUCGGGGACAGACGGUGAAGUAUUCAAGGAAUGGGGAUAAGGUAAUCUGGUCGAGGACAUCAACAAUUUCCUCUUGUAAAUCAGGAAAACAUUGUCGACUACUCGUACGUGAGGUAUUUGAGUGCUCGCUAAAACUUCCUGAAGUCUUCGGUUCUCUUCUAUCAACGAUCGGUAUUGCUGAAACAAAAAACAAAAAUGACGAAAUCAGUUAACGUUUAACGAGGAAAGUGUCCAGCUCUCGAACGACUUUCCUGAACGUAAUAAUCGUUUCAAAAGAAGAAAAAAGCGACGUGGUACGACGUAUAUACACGCGUUAAUACAAGGUUUCACCUUGCGUAGGAGAUUUUCACACGGUGGAGUGAACACGAUUCGACGUUAGCAGAGCGUACGCCUGUUUAUUGUACAGACAUUGCUUUAUCAAUAGCGGUAUAUUUUAUUUAAAAUAAUACAUUGCUCUAAUCAUCGUUAAACAUAAAGGAAACGUUAAAUAUUUGUAUCAUUAAUUACCUUAAACUUUAUGUCGAUUUUCCAAUUAAUAAUCUAGCGCCUUCAUUUUAUAAAAUAAUAUUCCAGGUAUAAUAUUGCAUAAGUCUAUGAAAUACAAAUGUAUACAACCGUAUAAUAAAUAAUAAAAGAUAAAUAAAUUAAUGAAGAGAUA